ACGCUCGACACCUACGGGGGGCAGCAGUGGGGAAUAUUGCACAAUGGGGGAAACCCGUGAUGCGGCGACGCCGCGUGAGCGAAGAAGUAUUUCGGUAUGUAAAGCUCUAUCAGCAGGGAAGAAACUGACGGUACCUGACUAAGAAGCACCGGCUAAAUACGUGCCACAGCCGCGGUAAUCUGAGCGGGCUGGCAAGGC
rnacentral:rRNA from 1 species